UACGUAGGGUGCGAGCGUUGUCCGGAAUUAUUGGGCGUAAAGAGCUCGUAGGCGGCCUGUCGCGUCGGUUGUGAAAGCCCGGGGCUUAACCCCGGGUCUGCAGUCGAUACGGGCAGGCUAGAGUUCGGUAGGGGAGUCUGGAAUUCCUGGUGUAGCGGUGAAAUGCGCAGAUAUCAGGAGGAACACCGGUGGCGAAGGCGGGACUCUGGGCCGAUACUGACGCUGAGGCGCGAGAGCUAGGGGAGCAAACGGG
rnacentral:rRNA from 1 species